rnacentral:misc_RNA from 1 species
GAAAUAAAACAUAAGAAAUCAGUGCAAAAUAUUUUUUUUUUAUUUUGUACUUCAUGUUACACAUUUGAACUUAGAAAUAAGAUCACAAGAUAUUUCGUGUAGAAUCAAGAGGAACUUUAAAGUGAUAAAAAAAUAAAAGAACUCUUACACGAAGAUUCUGAUUCGAAUUCAGUGAUUGUAGGUAGUGAAUUGUGAAGUAGCAGGCCAGAAGAAGAACGUUGUAGUGAUCAUGAAGUUAUAAGUAAUUGUGAAGAUCCGGUAACACUUGAUUUGUUAAACGCUAAUCAGGACGUGGAUUUUAAUACGGAAGCGUCUUCCUUAGAAAGUGAAAAUGAAAAUGUUGCAAGACCUAGUCAUUCCAACAGGGGGAAUAUAAAAUAUGGAGGAAAAUAAAUGCAAGUGAAGAAGUGGUUUAUUUCAUAUUGAUUUUUGUGAAAUUUUGAUUAGAGAUUAUAAAACUUUAUUUGUUAUUUAUUUUACAUAUUAUAUAUUAAGGAAAAUAAUGUUAUUUUUUAUUUUAACUUUUUAAACUAUAAUUUUCAUUGAUAUAUGUAACGUAGAAAAAAAUAUUACCAAAAUGUUGAUACUAUUUUGUGAUUUCUUCUAGUAAUGAAGUAAGAAGAUUUAUACCAAUAAAAACUAUAUGAUUACAUAAAACAAGCAUAAUAUUUAUUAUUUCUUACCAUUUAUUCAAGUACAUAGUUAAAACUUACUUGCUAGAAGCAAACAUACUAUGGGGGCCGCACGGCCCACACUAUACCAGUUACGUAUGUCUACUUUGCGAUACCAGUUAAGGGUUAAGUCGGCGAGAGAAUGAGAUAGAAUACAUUACAGUGUUUUAUAUUCGCAGUGAAAAAAAUCUCUCGUUGGUUACUUUUCAGAAGUUUGACUUCUGCCGUGUGUGAAUUGCACACACACUUUUUAAAAUUUAUUGAUUCAGCCUGUAACGUCCCACCGCUGAGCAUAGGCCCUUUUCCCAUGUACAAGAAGGCAGGUAGUUGUUUUAAAUCACUUAAAAAAUAUAACUAAUACAAAUGUUCAAGACAUUCAAUUAUUAUUAUUUUUUUAUUAAGACUCUCGUUUAUUAUCAUUUAUAUUUAGUUACUAG